AUGGCUAGUAGCUCCAAUGGCCAUUGUCCAGCUAAUGGUGCAAAAGUUCUUCCUGGAAGGGGGAAGAAGAAUCAGGAGAAAUUACUGCUUGACAAAAAUGCAGCUUCUAGGGCCUGUCAGAAGGACAGGCAAUACAUUGUGAAAUUGGAAACUGAGCUGAGCAACUGCUAUCAGGAAAUUGACUAUUUGCAGGAUCAGUUAAAUAUCAGGAAUGUUGAAGCAAACAUCAUGGGAGAGCAUAUUCACGGCCUUGAACUGAAGCUAACUGAACUGGAGAAAUUUCCUGAAAGAGUGAGAGUUAUGGACAAUGAUCUGAUGCGGUCUGAUUCUCAGUGCUGGCUUCUGAUGGAAGAAGUCCAAUGUAAAGAAGAGGAGCUGCAAAAGGCAGCCUCACAAAUAGAGAAGCUUGAAAGCGCAACUUUAGAUAUGCAAUGUGAAAUUGAGAGUUUAAAACUUGAUUUGACUACGAUUGAGCAAAGACUGUUUGAUGCUGAGAGCUUUAGCCAGCAUACUGCUGAGUACAAAGUUAGAAUAGAGAAGCAACUGAAAGAACAUGAGCUCCAGCUGCAAGAGGCACGGAAGACUAUUGAUCAUCUUGAGGUUGAGAAUAAACAACUGAAAAAAGAGUACUUGCCUGGAAGAGCUCCUAAACAAUCCUCUUCUACAGGCGUGGAGCAACUUGAUAAAACAGUGGAGCAUGAUGGUCAUGCAAACUAUGAAAGAGGUCAUGAAAUUCUUGAAAAGAUGGCGAAGCAAAAUGAAGAACCUGAACAUAUAAUUGAGCAGCUCAAGGUAGAACUUCGAGAACAAAAACUGAAAGCAAAGGAGGAUGCAGAAGAUCUCACUCAAGAAAUGGCUGAAUUGAGGUACCAGAUAACUGGCAUGCUUGAGGAAGAAUACAAGCGCCGGUCUUGCAUUGAGCAAGCGGCUAUUCAGCAAAUUCAGCAGCUGGAGGUUCAGGUCUCCAAAGAGCAAAGGAAAUUGAGUGGAGCACUAAGACGACUGCAGGAAUCGCAUGAGCUAGCUGACACGCAAGCUACGGAGAUUAAGAAACUGAAGGAUGCUUUAGGGAGAUUGAACUCUGCAAUGAACCUCGGGAGGGUUUGCAAAUCUUGCUCUUGCGGGUUCUGUCCAAUGCUGGUAGAGUUGUCUAAUUGCUCGAUUGAGGGGUCGCUUGACCUCAGAUCUUCCGAUGCUAGCAACGUUGAAGAAACACCAGAGAACCAAGCGCUAGUAGAGUGGCAUCCUGAUGAAGCUUCAGAUGGUGCCACAGUAAAUAAUGUAGGAUGCUAG
rnacentral:rRNA from 1 species